rnacentral:tRNA from 1 species
GCACCUGGUUUGGGACCAGGGGGUCGUAGGUUCGAAUCCUACUGCUCCGACCA